rnacentral:tRNA from 1 species
UGAAAUAGCUCAGUAGGUAGAGCAAUUCACUCGUAAUGAAUAGGUCACAGGUUCGAUUCCUGUUUUCAGC